AAAGAGGCUUUCCAUGAGAACGGAUCAAGCGUUCGAGAGUUGGGACAGGGAAAUGUGAGACGUACUUUCAUGUAUAUAUUUCUAAUAUUAUUUUUUCGUCUUGUAUUCUCGUUAAUUUUUCUCUAGGAAACACUGGAACGACACUGCUUAAAUUGAAGCACAGUGUGCGAAUGACCUGCUACGCUCGGAACUGUUAUCACCAUUCGGGAAGAAAUUGGGUAAGAAUGGAUUGUGUGUGGCGCGCUUCACCGCAUGUGGACUAGAGUAGAUCUAGGAACAUCAGACAAGAAGACACGUAUGUGAAACCCUGCGGAUAGCCCAUAUGUGAACUUUUUUUCCAGAUACGGAGGAACGGACACCGGUCGUGCCGUGAGCACUAUUCUGCAGGGCAUACUUACAAAUGAAGCUGCACUGCAGUUCAGCUGGAAAGGGUCGCAGGGAGGAAGCACGCCUUCGUGAAGCUCAUGGCCAUCACGAAUAUAACAUCUGUGAGGAGCACGUUCCCUGACGCUUCACUAGCAUCAGUGGCCGGAGUCGCAAAACGCUGGUUGGUUGGAGCAGCUGACAGGGAUGGAGGCCGGAAUGAAAGAAGGCGCCGUGACCGUGC
rnacentral:lncRNA from 1 species